AAGCUGUACAACUAUACUAAUUGUUAAACAAUCAUGUCCCUCUAUAAGGGAAAUCUCUUCUGAGACCUUUUUCGGUAAAAAGGGUACGGAACCUUGCAACAAUUGUACUUCUGAUACUCUAUUGGCAGCUUCAUCAUCAAGAGGCAUAUCUUGCUUAACGUAAUACGCGACGUCUGCAACGUGUAUUCCAAGUGUGAUGACUCCGUCGAUGGAGCCUGUAUCAAUAUGGAGAGCAUAAUCACGCGUUCCAAUCAUGAAGGUUAACUUAUCUCGUAAAUUGUAUCGCUUUUGUAGCUCUUCUGCAGGGAUAGGCGUAGGUAAUCUUUUAACACAAUGAGAAAGGGAUUCAGGGAAGUCAUAUGUGUGGCAACUGAAAUCGUGAAGAAUUGCUUUGUACUCCACCUUGGGGUCCCCAAUUGUUCCAAUACUUUCAUAUAGCGUUCCAAAAGGAUGCAAGGACGUAGUAGGCCAUCUCUUGAUGCCAGCCAAAAAUACCUUAUCCUUAAAAUCGUCGUUAUUUGUAAAAAAGGUAGGGGGUACUUGGUCACUAGAUAUAGCAAUAAGAGGAAUACGCUUGUCACUUGGUUUGAACCAAACAAUUUUAGGGCCUUUUCCCGUUUCACCACUGGAUGUGGAUGAAUUUCUUCGAUGAGAGGACUGAUUCUUCAAAGCAAGGCUAUUGGGUCUAUACAACGCUAAAGUGCCUGAGCAAGUUUCACCGCUAGGUCUGUUGAGUACAGCAACGACAUGACCUGCGUAUUUUGGAGCAGAAUCGGGAGUAAGUGAAACAUCGUCGACAAACGAAAGACUCUGGCCGGUUACCUCGUAAUCGUUCUUCCGUUUCUCAAUAGACCUUUCAAACGAAAGAACACCCCUAUUCAUUCCUAAAGCCAUGGGUGUACUGAUAGACAUCAUUUUUGCUUUACUGUUGACUGAAUACUUAGAAGAACCAGAGAGGGAUAGGUUACGGCGAAUCUUCUUCUCCUCUUUCUCUCUCUUCGUUUGCAUAAUUUCAUUAACAUCCAAAAGUUCGACGGCUACCAAAUCCCCUUCCAAAGUCCUAUUUCUGUCCUUGGAUCCGCAAAUAAAAAUAGGCUCGUCAAGCACGUCCGUAAUAACGUAUGCAUCAGAACGAUUUUUACGAUUUAUGUGAAGGGUCCCAACAAGCAACUUACCAGUACCAAUGAACUUCGGAAGGGACGCUUGGGGAAGAUAAGGAAGAAAAAGAUUUUUGUGCUGUUGGGCAGCAGCAGAAACGGAGACCCGUUUUCCGCUACUGUUAAAAUUUAAAAAGGAGCUUUGAGGAAGAGAAGCUCCAUCAGAUGAAUGAUUGAUGUAGGAUUGUUGAGAAGCAUUUGACAAAGGGAUUUGCGGAGCCUGUUGAAAAAUCGGAGAUUCAGGUUCAACGCUGUGUAAGCUUUCCUGCAAAGAAUGCAUAGACAAGGGAGACUCUAAAGGUGAUUGCUGCCAUUCCUGAUUUCCAUCUAUAGGUUUCAAAGGCGUCAGGAAAUUUGGAUUUGAAGGCGAAACCGGAGAAAAAGGAUCUGUACCAGCAGAAGAACGACGUCUUGUAUGCGAUGUAGCAGUCGAAACACCUGCUCCAGCUCGUUGUGGAGUUGUCUGCAUCCCUUGAGUAAAUGCUUCAAAAGACUCAGUUACCGGACUGAAUAUCGAUUCCGCUCGAUUCUUCAUCACAGGGCUGGUGAGCUCUCCUACUGCAGGACCCAUUGUACCAGUACCAGAUUCAUUGAUAGGCUUGGAAAAUUGCUGUGGAAUUGAAGGAUUAGGCUGUCUUGCUCCAAUAGGUGCAAGCGGGUUUAAUCUGGGCAACAAUGUGUUCUCCCUUCGAGAUUUUGAGAACGGACCGGAUUGGAAAGGGAAAAAGUUUGGCUGUAAGUAAUUCUCAGAUUCAGAGAGAGAUUGCUGCAUUUGCAGUGCCUGUAAAUACUCGAUUUGAGAUUGGAUUACGUCUGGAGCUAAAUAACUGAGUUAGUGAUAAAUACUCUGGUAGAAGAAAAAAGCUGAAGAAUCUAGCAAGAUGAAAAAAAAAAAUUCAAAAUUCAAAGAAAAACUUAUUUCAUAGUUGCAGGAUACUUCAUCGAACUUGACAAAACUUACCAACCCAAGGAAGAUUACCAAACCUCUGAGCAGAGGAAGGUUUAUUUGAUUUGGGAGAGGCGGAAGGUGAAGGCUGUGUAGGAAUGUUUGAAGAAUCGUGUCUUUUCCAAUGAGGAUCCAUUAUUUUUUAUUAGUUGAAAUGAGUUGACCGUAUCGUUAUUGUUGAUUUUUUUUUGAAAGACACUGUCUUAAACGAAGAAAGAUGUUUACGGAAAUUUAAUAUGUAGAGAGUGAAACAGAGACCAGACAAAAAAGUAAAUCUAUUCGAUUUGCAAGUAUUUCAAGGAAAACCAAAACAAAAACGAUCAGAGGAAACGGUUUGAACGAAGGUUACAGUAGUCCUCGUCAAUUAUUGUGGGGACGCAGUAAUGCAAAGAAACAAAAAAAUGGAGAAGAAAGAAGGAGAGAGAGUAUGAGAUUGUGAAAAAGUAUCUCGAUACGCUGAUGCUUUUGAAUGUGCGCCUAUUCACUGGGGAGUACAAGGACAAUUCCUGUAGGAGAGAUUGGCAGAGCGAAAACCCAAAGAUUGUAGCAACAAACGAAACCAAUAUAGUACUGCUUUUU